AACGAACGCUGGCGGCAUGCCUAACACAUGCAAGUCGAACGAGACCUUCGGGUCUAGUGGCGCACGGGUGCGUAACGCGUGGGAACCUGCCCUUAGGUUCGGAAUAACUCCCCGAAAGGGGUGCUAAUACCGGAUAAUGUCUUCGGACCAAAGAUUUAUCGCCUUUGGAUGGGCCCGCGUUGGAUUAGCUAGUUGGUAGGGUAAAAGCCUACCAAGGCGACGAUCCAUAGCUGGUCUGAGAGGAUGAUCAGCCACACUGGGACUGAGACACGGCCCAGACUCCUACGGGAGGCAGCAGUAGGGAAUAUUGGACAAUGGGCGAAAGCCUGAUCCGGCAAUGCCGCGUGAGUGAUGAAGGCCUUAGGGUUGUAAAGCUCUUUUACCCGGGAUGAUAAUGACAGUACCGGGAGAAUAAGCUCUGGCUAACUCCGUG
rnacentral:rRNA from 1 species